CUGUGGGAUUAUAUUAUAUUAAUCCUAACCCCCGUUUGGAUGUAGGGUUAUGAAAACCCUAGUUUUUGGGUUUCCAUAAUACCUUGUUUUGCUCCUCAAACCCUUUCACUCUCUCAUGUGUAGCCUACUGAUUUGUCUCCCUCACCAUUCUCCUUCAACCUGUGUUCACCAAUCUCCUUCAACCCGUGUUGUCUAUCAAUCCCUUUUUCCCUUCCAUGACUGUUUUCUUCUUUCUUCUUCUUUCUUCUUCUUCUCCCUCUUUCCCUUCGAUUCCGAUUUCUCUUCCUUUUGGUUUAGACUUAUUUUGAGGAAGUUUGUCAAAAAAAUUUACCCCUCCCAUCGAAAAAAUCCCCUUUCAAUCACGCUUUUCCAUCUCUACAUCUCUCUCACUCCCCGAAACUCGAAAGCUUUUAUUGAAGGCUUGGCUGAAAGGUCUUGCCUCCAAAACGUUUCGUUUAUGGUUUGUGGGUUUCGUCGACCGACGGGGAAUAUUUCUUGCCUCCAAAAUCUUCACUUUCAUGUUUGAUCAGUAUUCUCUAUCGACAUGCAAGUUCGGGUUUAGCCUAUCGGAUGUCCCCUUGUUGGUCCACUUGCUGAUUUACCUUUCGAUGUUUCCUUUGUCGAUUGGUGUUUCCCUUCACUCAUUUCGGAUCGAUGCUACACGCUACAUCGUUUUGUGGCAAUCGGUGAGGCUCGAGCAUGGUAGGGAGGCAACUUUUUGGUCGUUUUCUUUUUUGUUUUCAAAGCCGAUGUUGUGUGUAUGUUGUUCCUUCUAUCAUUUGGUUCCAUUGCCUUCAUUUCUGUCCAAUGGUUCUUUGUAAAUUUUUUUGCUUUAAUCAUUCUUGUUUGGCGCUGUGAUGAUUAUAAUUUUUGUCUGAUUCUCUAUGAAGUAUGAAUUCAUUCUGCCCUCUGAUCGUUAUUUCCCUUGACUGUCAUUAUGUACUUUCUAUCAUGUUUUGUUCAUUUCUUCACUGAUUGCUAUUAUAGGGAAAAAUUGUGGCCACCUAAAUAUUUUCCUUGCAAAUUGUUUUGUCUUUUCAAUCUUUUUUACAAUCUUUCUUUCUCUACUAAAUAGGGUAGCUUCCAAUGGUUAGAGUUUGACCACAUAUGUGACUUUUUAUGCUUUUACCCUAUUAGUUGCAGAAAUUUCCUGAUUUUUUUUGUGUGGUCAUUAAGGCAUCAUAACUUCCCUCAUCCCUAUAUAUUCACCUUUCCUCUUCUGUUUUAGCACUUGCAUUUUUGGAAUCUAUUGCGGCCUUAUUCUGUCCUUUGCUUGUUUCUCUUUGGUAGGUAAUUUUUUUGUUUCCAUAUUCUUAUUAUUGUCCAUCUGUUUCUACCCUAUCAUUGUAUGUAUAAUCCAUGUUCUUUGUUUCUUCACUAUGUUGUUUCUAUAUUAUUACGAACCUACCAUGACUUUGUGCAUGCCUUCUCUAGUAUAUAUGCUCGAUGAUAAUAUUAGUGUACCUUACCUAUGUUCAAAUCUAUUAAGUAAUGUUUCAACCAUUAUGAACCUCGUCUUAAUGUCGUUAAAUGCUUUUACUUCCCUCCACUCAUUUUGUUGGUUGUCUUGCGUAUCCUCUAUACCUUAUAAUUUGUUUCUUCAUUUUCUUUGUUCUUUGUUUUUUUUCUUCUAAUUGAUGUUUCCACUACUAUGAAAUUUGGUUCAAAUUUUUAAACUAAUUUCCUUAUUUAAUGGUACCAUCCCAAUGUAUUGAAUUUCACUACUAUGACUCACAUUAGUCUAACAAAUAUUCAACGAUCAAAUUUUUUCCAUUAUUCACUACUACCUUUUAAAAAACAAUCAUGCCCCUAAGUGCUGAAUUCGGUUAAAUGAAACGCAAUAAAAGUUAUGACUUUACAUUAAAAUUAGAAUGUCACUUUUGAAAAGUUAAAUGAUGCCCUCAAGUGUUUAAAAAUUGAAAUUAAGAACAUUUGAAACAUACUAUAGUUCCAAUUUGACCACAUUCUAGGUUUUUUCUAUUGUGGCCAUAAGUUGCGAAAAAAAUUAAAAUUCGAAGAUUAGAAACAUACUAUAGUUUCAAUUGUACCACAUUUUUUUAUAAUUUUUUUCGCAUUACGAAACAUAAUUCUAAAAUUAUAGUAACAUUUCCAAAUUUCACCGCUAAUUUGUUUUAAAACACUUUUUAAUGCAAUUUACGUUUGAGCGAUAUGCGAUAACUAUUUUUCUUUGUCUGUAGAACUGUUUAUCCGAACUUGAUGCUAACUAAGGUAUUUUUUUAACAUGUAUAUCAACUUUCUAAUAACACACGUAUGUAAUCAUUGUUAGGAAAUUUGUUACAUUCAAAUGGAUUAACAAAGCCUUGUUGCAAUCCUAACUGCAUUCACAAUUUCCCAAUGUCAGCUAUUGCUAACAUUGAAGGCACUCACACUACAACAAAUAAUGCCAUUGAUAGCCUUUGAACAUAGCCUUUCUAAAAUUUGGCUAUCAAAUCUCACCCCAAGAGAAAAGGCGGAACAUUAAAAAAUUGAAAUUUAGGGCGCGCCCAAAAUUUCGGAAUUAUCUGCUUAAUGCUACCCUCUCACCCUUUCUUCAGCUAGCAAAACCCUUCAUAAUUUUUCUUUCAUUCUCUUGUUCUCCUUUCUUCAUCUCUUUACACAUAAAACCUAAUUAAAUGUGCUGCUUUAGAUUCAACGCUUCUCCCAAAUCGCAAUUUUUAGCACUUGAAACCCAUUCUUUUUCUCUUAGAUCCCAACCUUCACUAUUAAUUUUGAUUGUUAAAGUUACAACUUGUUGAAUCCACCAUGGAAUCUGCACUACUCUUUUUUAUGGUAGGCCUCAACCCUUCCUCCCUCACGAGCGAAACCAGCCCAAGCUCUUGCUUUCCUUUCAUCUUUCAGAUUCUGCACAAAUUGAUUACGAAGAGGUGCCUAUCACCAUUGAUCAAGAGAUUGAUUACGAAAGAGGUGUCUGCCGUAUUCAUGAGUCAAACAAAAGUCGGGAAUUUCCCCGUCGGACCAAGAGAUUUUUGAAAAGAAAUAUAGAGCGCAAAAAAAAAAAAAAAAAAAGAAAGGAAGUGAGAGUCUAGAGGACGGAAGAAAAAGUCAAAAGUAAAUCCAUCAGCAUCAAUCUUGGUGAUUGUACGAUUGUUCAUUGUUUGGCGUCGAAGUUUAGAAGAGAGAUGGAACCUAAAUCUGCUUCUCCUCCAUGGGUUUGGAGGCAACAAAAUUCGGCAAUGGAACAAGUUCGUAUCUUCAUUGAUUUGUUUCUUCAAUGUUUUUGCUUCUCUUGCCUCCAAUCAUUUGGUUAAGGUCCAUAAGGUGGUGGUGAUGAAGUAUGGAGGAGCAAUUGUUCAAAGAGAGAGACGUGCACUGUUAAGAAAAGAAAAACAAGUUGGUUCAAUUUCAGACAUCUCUCAUUCCCUCUUUUGAACCACAACAACCUUAAAAACUCUAAAACAAUGGACAAACUAAUAUGCUAUAAUCAUUCCUCGUUUUAUACUCCCAAAUUAUUUUUCACUAAUCCUUUUCAUCAUCUCCCAAAUUACGUCCAUAGACAAAUCCAACAAAUGACAUCAAGAUGGAACAUGGAGAGGCAAGAUUCACUCAAUGCUACACUAGUUACUGGUGUGCAAAAUUACAGAGAAAAAGUAGUUUUGAUUCAUCUUCGGUCACAAUGGUUGCACUAUGGACUAAAGCACACAAAAGGAAGGAUGGACAACUGGUGAAUUCACAAGUUGCCAAGACACUUAAAUGAAAGCACUUAUGUUAUCUUAUUUAAAGAAACAGACUGAACUAAGUGAGGAACUUUCAAAUGCUGCAAGUGUGCUUAAGCGACUAAAUAUUCCUCCAACUUGUCCAAUGCCUUCUCCAUCGAGUAUCAACAACGACAGUCAAACUAAGUGCAAGUUAUUAGAUUGGUAUGGCUCGGGAGAGAUUGUUGCUGAAGGAAAAUGGUCUUCUAAUGAUCCAACUGCUCUAGUUCAUCAUGUUCCUAUUGGUCCACAUGCGAUUAGAGUAUGGGUUGAUGUAGCAAAGAAACCGAAUGCAUAUUUGUGGAGGCCAACAUGAGAAAUGACAUGUAUUGAAGAAGCUUUGGGAAAUAUAGUUGCAUGGCCAUCUGAUAAAGUGAUCAUUAGUGAAUGAAAUGGAGUCGUCUUAAUCAGAGGACUAAAGAUUGUACACUUAUGACGAACUUUACUUGUAGACUUAUGAUGAACUUUGUUUGUAUUUUGAAGGUUAAUUUGUGUGGUUGAUACAUUAUUUACUAAUGUGUAUUUUGAUUGUUAAUGUGUAUGGUUGGUACAUUUAGAAUGACUACAUUAUUUGGUAAUUUUAAUACAUUACGAAUGGUUUUAUAGAUUUUUGAAAA